rnacentral:lncRNA from 1 species
AACUGAAAUAAUAAUCAUCCACGAGGAAACAACUCAGUGGGGAAGAGCAAAAAGGUUAAAGUCUUUCUGCCUAAGGGGCUGACGCUCUACAAUUGAGGGAGGACAGAAAUCAGAAUUUGUAUGAGGAUAAAGUACCGCCAUACAGGGAAUGAGAAUUUCAAACCAACAAGUUAAUCAGAUAUGCAAAUAUGCAAUUAUGAACUAGGUCUUCAACAAGAACUUACCUUUUGAAAAGCCAACUGGGUCUUCAACAG